UACGAAGGGUGCAAGCGUUAAUCGGAAUUACUGGGCGUAAAGCGCGCGUAGGUGGUUCGUUAAGUUAGGAGUGAAAGCCCCGGGCUCAACCUGGGAAUUGCUUCUAAAACUGGCGAGCUAGAGUAUGGUAGAGGGUGGUGGAAUUUCCUGUGUAGCGGUGAAAUGCGUAGAUAUAGGAAGGAACAUCAGUGGCGAAGGCGACCACCUGGACUGAUACUGACACUGAGGUGCGAAAGCGUGGGGAGCAAACAGGAUUAGAUACCCCCGUAGUACCUGA
rnacentral:rRNA from 1 species